rnacentral:rRNA from 1 species
GGUUAAGCGACUAAGCGUACACGGUGGAUGCCCUGGCAGUCAGAGGCGAUGAAGGACGUGCUAAUCUGCGAAAAGCGUCGGUAAGGUGAUAUGAACCGUUAUAGCCGGCGAUGUCCGAAUGGGGAAACCCAGUGCAAUUCGUUGCACUAUCGUUAACUGAAUACAUAGGUUAACGAGGCGAACCGGGGGAACUGAAACAUCUAAGUACCCCGAGGAAAAGAAAUCAACCGAGAUUCCCCCAGUAGCGGCGAGCGAACGGGGAGCAGCCCGGAGUCUGAAUCAGCUUGUGUGUUAGUGGAAGCGUCUGGAAAGUCGCAGGGUACAGGGUGAUACUCCCGUACACUAAAACACACAGGCUGUGAACUCGAAGAGUAGGGCGGGACACGUGGUAUCCUGUCUGAAUAUGGGGGGACCAUCCUCCAAGGCUAAAUACUCCUGACUGACCGAUAGUGAACCAGUACCGUGAGGGAAAGGCGAAAAGAACCCCGGCGAGGGGAGUGAAAAAGAACCUGAAACCGUGUACGUACAAGCAGUAGGAGCCCACUUGUUGGGUGACUGCGUACCUUUUGUAUAAUGGGUCAGCGACUUAUAUUCUGUAGCAAGGUUAACCGUAUAGGGGAGCCGCAGGGAAACCGAGUCUUAACUGGGCGUUAAGUUGCAGGGUAUAGACCCGAAACCCGGUGAUCUAGCCAUGGGCAGGUUGAAGGUUGGGUAACACUAACUGGAGGACCGAACCGACUAAUGUUGAAAAAUUAGCGGAUGACUUGUGGCUGGGGGUGAAAGGCCAAUCAAACCGGGAGAUAGCUGGUUCUCCCCGAAAGCUAUUUAGGUAGCGCCUCGUGAAUUCAUCUUCGGGGGUAGAGCACUGUUUCGGCUAGGGGGUCAUCCCGACUUACCAACCCGAUGCAAACUACGAAUACCGAAGAAUGUUAUCACGGGAGACACACGGCGGGUGCUAACGUCCGUCGUGAAGAGGGAAACAACCCAGACCGCCAGCUAAGGUCCCAAAGUCAUGGUUAAGUGGGAAACGAUGUGGGAAGGCCCAGACAGCCAGGAUGUUGGCUUAGAAGCAGCCAUCAUUUAAAGAAAGCGUAAUAGCUCACUGGUCGAGUCGGCCUGCGCGGAAGAUGUAACGGGGCUAAACCAUGCACCGAAGCUGCGGCAGCGACACUAUGUGUUGUUGGGUAGGGGAGCGUUCUGUAAGCCGUUGAAGGUGGCCUGUGAGGGUUGCUGGAGGUAUCAGAAGUGCGAAUGCUGACAUAAGUAACGAUAAUGCGGGUGAAAAACCCGCACGCCGGAAGACCAAGGGUUCCUGUCCAACGUUAAUCGGGGCAGGGUGAGUCGACCCCUAAGGCGAGGCCGAAAGGCGUAGUCGAUGGGAAACAGGUUAAUAUUCCUGUACUUGGUGUUACUGCGAAGGGGGGACGGAGAAGGCUAUGUUGGCCGGGCGACGGUUGUCCCGGUUUAAGCAUGUAGGCGGAUGUUCCAGGUAAAUCCGGAACGUCACUAACGCUGAGGUGUGAUGACGAGGCACUACGGUGCUGAAGUGACAAAUGCCCUGCUUCCAGGAAAAGCCUCUAAGCAUCAGGUAACAUCAAAUCGUACCCCAAACCGACACAGGUGGUCAGGUAGAGAAUACCAAGGCGCUUGAGAGAACUCGGGUGAAGGAACUAGGCAAAAUGGUGCCGUAACUUCGGGAGAAGGCACGCUGAUGGUAAGUGAAGUGACUUGCUCAUGGAGCUGAAAUCAGUCGAAGAUACCAGCUGGCUGCAACUGUUUAUUAAAAACACAGCACUGUGCAAACACGAAAGUGGACGUAUACGGUGUGACGCCUGCCCGGUGCCGGAAGGUUAAUUGAUGGGGUUAUCCUCGCGGAGAAGCUCUUGAUCGAAGCCCCGGUAAACGGCGGCCGUAACUAUAACGGUCCUAAGGUAGCGAAAUUCCUUGUCGGGUAAGUUCCGACCUGCACGAAUGGCGUAAUGAUGGCCAGGCUGUCUCCACCCGAGACUCAGUGAAAUUGAACUCGCUGUGAAGAUGCAGUGUACCCGCGGCAAGACGGAAAGACCCCGUGAACCUUUACUAUAGCUUGACACUGAACACUGGUCCUUGAUGUGUAGGAUAGGUGGGAGGCUUUGAAGUGUGGACGCCAGUCUGCAUGGAGCCAUCCUUGAAAUACCACCCUUUAAUGGCUGGUGUUCUAACGUGGGCCCCUAAUCGGGGUUGCGGACAGUGUCUGGUGGGUAGUUUGACUGGGGCGGUCUCCUCCUAAAGAGUAACGGAGGAGCACGAAGGUCAGCUAAUCCUGGUCGGACAUCAGGAGGUUAGUGCAAUGGCAUAAGCUGGCUUGACUGCGAGCGUGACGGCGCGAGCAGGUGCGAAAGCAGGUCAUAGUGAUCCGGUGGUUCUGAAUGGAAGGGCCAUCGCUCAACGGAUAAAAGGUACUCCGGGGAUAACAGGCUGAUACCGCCCAAGAGUUCAUAUCGACGGCGGUGUUUGGCACCUCGAUGUCGGCUCAUCACAUCCUGGGGCUGAAGUAGGUCCCAAGGGUAUGGCUGUUCGCCAUUUAAAGUGGUACGCGAGCUGGGUUUAGAACGUCGUGAGACAGUUCGGUCCCUAUCUGCCGUGGGCGCUGGAGAAUUGAGGGGGGCUGCUCCUAGUACGAGAGGACCGGAGUGGACGCAUCACUGGUGUUCGGGUUGUCAUGCCAAUGGCAUUGCCCGGUAGCUAAAUGCGGAAGAGAUAAGUGCUGAAAGCAUCUAAGCACGAAACUUGCCCCGAGAUGAGUUCUCCCUGACUCCUUGAGAGUCCUGAAGGAACGUUGAAGACGACGACGUUGAUAGGCCGGGUGUGUAAGCGCAGCGAUGCGUUGAGCUAACCGGUACUAAUGAACCGUGAGGCUUAACCUU